GAUGAACGCUGGCGGCAUGCCUAAUACAUGCAAGUCGAACGAAGAGGCCUUAAUGAGAGAGUGCUUGCACUAAGGAUUUAAGAUCACCUCUUAGUGGCGAACGGGUGAGUAACACGUGGGUAACCUACCGUAUAGACAGGGACAACAGUUGGAAACGACUGCUAAUACCUGAUAACAUAAAACAUCGCAUGAUGUAUUAUGGAAAGAGGCGUAUGCCUCACUAUGCGAUGGACCCGCGGCGCAUUAGCUAGUUGGUGAGAUAAAAGCUCACCAAGGCAACGAUGCGAAGCCGACCUGAGAGGGUGAACGGCCACAUUGGGACUGAGACACGGCCCAGACUCCUACGGGAGGCAGCAGUAGGGAAUUUUCCACAAUGGGGGCAACCCUGAUGGAGCAAUGCCGCGUGAGAGAAGAAGGCCUUCGGGUUGUAAAUCUCUGUUGUAAGGGAAGAAAAUUAGUAAGAGGAAAUGCUUAUUAAGUGACGGUACCUUACCAGAAAGCCACGGCUAACUACGUGCCAGCCGCCGCCGUAAGAC
rnacentral:rRNA from 1 species